rnacentral:rRNA from 1 species
UACGGGGGGGGCAAGCGUUGUUCGGAAUUACUGGGCGUAAAGGGCUCGUAGGCGGCCAACUAAGUCACACGUGAAAUCCCCAGGCUUAACCUGGGAACUGCGUGUGAUACUGGAUGGCUUGAAUUCGGGAGAGGGAUGCAGAAUUCCAGGUGUAGCGGUGAAAUGCGUAGAUAUCUGGAGGAAUACCGGUGGCGAAGGCGGCAUCCUGGACCGAGAUUGACGCUGAACGGCGAAAGCUAGGGGAGCAAACGGG